AUUGAACGCUGGCGGCAGGCCUAACACAUGCAAGUCGAGCGAGAGGCGGACGGGUGAGUAAUGUAUGGGGACUGCCCGAUAGAGGGGGAUAACUACUGGAAACGGUGGCUAAUACCGCAUACUAUCGGAUAACCCAUAUGGGAUUAGCUAGUAGGUGGGGUAAAGGCUCACCUAGGCGACGAUCUCUAGCUGGUCUGAGAGGCUGAUCAGCCACACUGGGACUGAGACACGGCCCAGACUCCUACGGAGGCAGCAGUGGGGAAUAUUCCGCAAUGGGCGAAAGCCUGACGCAGCCACGCCGCGUGUAUGAAGAAGGCCUUAGGGUCGUAAAGUACUGUCAUCGGGGAGGCGGUACCUGAACAAGAAGCACCGGCUAACUCCGUGCCAGCAGCCGCGGUAAUAC
rnacentral:rRNA from 1 species